GACGAACGCUGGCGGCGUGCUUAACACAUGCAAGUCGAACGGAAAGGCCCUGCUUUUGUGGGGUGCUCGAGUGGCGAACGGGUGAGUAACACGUGAGUAACCUGCCCUUGACUUUGGGAUAACUUCAGGAAACUGGGGCUAAUACCGGAUAGGAGCUCCUCCUCCAGGGGGGGGGUUGGAAAGUUUCGGCGGUUGGGGAUGGACUCGCGGCUUAUCAGCUUGUUGGUGGGGUAGUGGCUUACCAAGGCUUUGACGGGUAGCCGGCCUGAGAGGGUGACCGGCCACAUUGGGACUGAGAUACGGCCCAGACUCCUACGGGAGGCAGCAGUGGGGAAUAUUGCACAAUGGGCGGAAGCCUGAUGCAGCAACGCCGCGUGCGGGAUGACGGCCUUCGGGUUGUAAACCGCUUUCGCCUGUGACGAAGCGUGAGUGACGGUAAUGGGUAAAGAAGCACCGGCUAACUACGUG
rnacentral:rRNA from 1 species